rnacentral:tRNA from 1 species
CGGGCUGUAGCAUAGUGGCAGUGUGCACGAUUCGGGUUCGUGUGGUGGGAGUUCGAUUCUCCCCAGCCCGA